GGGGGUGGGGUGGAAUCCAGAGCAGUGGCAACCAACUCUGUGAUAGCACAAGGUUCUGAUUCUUAUAUGCAUCUGCAAGGAACUAAAACCCAGCUGAUCCAACAAGUGAAGAGUAUGCUGCAUUUUCAUCACCGGUAGGUGCCUGUUCAACAACUCUGCGGGAUGUUCCAACAUCUGCUUUCGAAAAUGUUCCAACAUCUAGCUUGCAUGCGGCACAGAGUUCUAAGCGCUUCUCUUUUGCUUCUGCAACAUCACCGUCCCAACAAGUUUCAGAGAUAAUCUCAAGUGCUUUCUCUAGCUUGUCUUCUGGCACUAGAGCGUCAUUUUGUUGGAGGACAAGAUAAACUUGUUCAGCAGCGGCCUUCCUGACCUUUGGAAAUCGAUGGGUGAGGAAAGUUAGUAACUGACUGAAUGCCUGGAUAUUGAUCUGUUCUGGUACUGAUGAAAUAUAUCCAAGUAUGGCAAUUCCAGCAUACAGCUUACUGAAGUCUUUUGAUCCUUUCAACUCUAUAUUCAGAGCUUCUAAAACUCCAACACAAAACACUACAGUCUGCGCCUCCAUAAUUAAGAAAAUCCUUUUGCUGAAUAGGUUCUCAAUAGUCUUCAAAGUGGGUUCCACAACUCUGUCACACCUUUUGUAUUUCUGAAGAACCCAAAGAAUGUCAUUGGAAAGAUUGUACUCUUUAGAGUCAUUUCCAUUUUCAUCAGUUGACUGAAGAAAUUCAAGCAAAGCAUUGAGUGAUGGCUUCC
rnacentral:misc_RNA from 1 species